UAUCACGUCAGGAGGAGGCAAAGGUUUCUGGGGGUGGGGGGGGGGGAUAAGGCGCGUGGGAGAAGAGAAGAAAUCCUUUGAUUGAGGCGAAAAGGAUCUGACUCAUGAACAAGUGGGGGUGGGGGAGUUCUAGAGUAUUCGCCAUAAAUAGAAUGAAUUCCUCCUCAAGUCUCCUGCUGGUUCACCUUUCCUUACUCCAAUGGAUAGUUUUCUUUCUUUCUUUCUUUUUCUUUCUUUUUUUUUUUUCUCUUAGUGCAAAGUAUUUGUUCUCAGCCCAACUUCUUCCUAUAAAGUGAUAUGUAACUUCAACUUGGGCCAAAUUUAUCUCAUUUCAGGUCACUCUCCUUGCACCAGCUCCCAGCUUCUGACACCACAUACAUUCCUCACGUGACAGCCAGACUCGAGCCUGAGCUGAGUGGGGCACUUGCCAAUGUCUCAAACUCUCUGUUGAGAAAGUAGUGAGCAGGACCUAGGAUCACUGUUUCUUUGACUGAGAAAUGAGGAUUCCGAACCCAGACUGCAUUUUAAUGGAUUUGAGAUUAGCCAGAGGGAUUCCCCUCCUCCACCCCUUCCGAGAUUAAUAAUUGACCCAUUCUCCCGUGCACAUUUUUUAAAUGCUAAAGCUGUUUGUGUUCACUCAAGGCAAGAAAAAAAAAAAUUCAGGUGACCAGCUGUUGCAGCCCUGGAAUCAGUGACCUUGGUUGGCAGUGGUCUCUGAGACGUGGCCUCUCACCAGCACAGCCACAGAACUCCCAGUCAGCCUCCUCCCACCACCCCACAGCCUUUGGAAGGUACCUGCUGCAGCCCUGCCCUCCAUGUCUCCCACACCAGCAGCCCAGAAGAAGCCCUAUCCACACAUAUCCCUUCCAUUAACAGAAUGAAAUUCCAGAUCCUGUUUUGGUCAUAAAGAGAAAUUACAUGAAGGUAAUGGGUGAUUUUUUUUAAAUUUUCUUUCUUUUAUUUUAUUUAUUCCCUUUUGUUGCCCUUGUUGUUUUUUUUUAAUUGUUGUAGUUAUUAUUGUUGUUGUUAUUGAUGUCGUUGUUGGAUAGGACAGAGAGAAAUGGAGAGAGGAGGGGAAGACAGAGAGGGGGAGAGAAAGAUAGACACCUGCAGACCUGCUUCACUGCCUGUGAAGUGACUCCCCUUCAGGUGGGGAGCUGGGGGCUCGA